UGUACAUUUAAAAAUCACAUUUCGCCUUGUGUCUUUUUGUCAUUUACUGUAUGCUGAUUUUAAAAAUAAUAAUAAAAAAGUUUGUCCUUGGUGACAGUGACUUCACCCUUAUAUGUCACACUGCUUAGGACGGAUUUCCUGUCAGCAGGCUUAUAACUGAGAUAAUGACUUGACUUCACAAAUAACUAUGUCAUAUCCUGUAUCGACAGCCAAAAUCUUUCAGGACAAUGAUCCAGUUCACUGUCAACCAAGGCUUUGACAUGAUCAUGGUCGAUGCUUUGCUGAUCCUGUCACUUCAUUGGAGCCAGUGUGCUUCAAGUGGAGAUGGUGUUUCACAACAGCCAGGCAUUCUUUUGGCACUGAAGGGGAAUUCUGCUGAGAUGAACUGCACACACAAUAAGGGUGCUGACUACAGUCAGAUGUACUGGUACCAACAGCGCCAAGGAGAGACUAUGAGACUUAUUGUGCUCACAAAAAGCUAUGGGGCUGCAGACUUUGGAGAUAAUGAUCAAAGUAAAUUUGCAGCUCAAAAAGAUGUUCCUGAAAGUGGAUCUUUCACAGUGAAGAAUGUACAGGCUGAUGAUAGUGCCAUAUAUUUCUGUUCAGUGAGCAAACACAGUGUAUCAAACACUGGAGAGAGAUAUACAAAAACACCUGGCAUAUUUUACAUGAAAAAUGGAGAAUUAACAAUCCCAAAGGGGGCAGUCUGUCACAGAUAAUCAGCAGUGUUUCGUGCAAUAUAUUUUUUAUGUUUGUACAACACAAGUUGAUGUAUUCCUAUCAAUACACCUAUUACAAAUUACACCUGUGGUUACUCUGCUAGGAGACCAGUGUGAACCUGAAGGGAACUGACUUCAUCCAUCCAUUAAAAAUCACACUGGGACCAUUUGGUUAAAAGUAAUUGCAAAACUGGA